rnacentral:rRNA from 1 species
UACAGAGGUCUCGAGCGUUAGGCGGAAUCACUGGGCUUAAAGCGUGUGUAGGCGGAGUGUUAAGUACUUUGUGAAAUCCCACAGCUCAACUGUGGAACUGCUUGGUAUACUGACAUUCUUGAGCAACAUAGGGGCUACCGGAACAAAUGGUGGAGCGGUGAAAUGCGUAGAUAUCAUUUGGAACGCCAAUGGUGAAAACAGGUAGCUGGGUGUUUGCUGACGCUGAGACACGAAAGCCAGGGGAGCGAACGGG